rnacentral:rRNA from 1 species
UACAGAGGGUGCAAGCGUUGUUCGGAAUCAUUGGGCGUAAAGGGUGCGUAGGCGGCCGUGCAAGUCUGGCGUGAAAGCCCCGGGCUCAACCUGGGAACCGCGCUUGAGACUGGCACGCUCGAGUUCGGGAGAGGAUGGUGGAAUUCCCAGUGUAGAGGUGAAAUUCGUAGAUAUUGGGAAGAACACCGAUGGCGAAGGCAGCCAUCUGGACCGACACUGACGCUGAGGCGCGAAAGCGUGGGGAGCAAACAGG